AUUGAACGCUGGCGGCAGGCCUAACACAUGCAAGUCGAGCGGAUGAAGGGAGCUUGCUCCUGGAUUCAGCGGCGGACGGGUGAGUAAUGCCUAGGAAUCUGCCUGGUAGUGGGGGAUAACGUCCGGAAACGGGCGCUAAUACCGCAUACGUCCUGAGGGAGAAAGUGGGGGAUCUCCGGACCUCUUGCUAUCAUAUGAGCCUAGGUCGGAUUAACUAGUUGGUGGGGUAAAGGCCUACCAAGGCGACGAUCCGUAACUGGUCUGAGAGGAUGAUCAGUCACACUGGAACUGAGACACGGCCCAGACUCCUACGGGAGGCAGCAGUGGGGAAUAUUGGACAAUGGGCGAAAGCCUGAUCCAGCCAUGCCGCGUGUGGGAAGAAGGUCUUCGGAUUGUAAAGCACUUUAAGUUGGGAGGAAGGGCAGUAAGUUAAUACCUUGCUGUUUUGACGGUACCAACAGAAUAAGCACCGGCUAACUUCGUG
rnacentral:rRNA from 1 species